rnacentral:rRNA from 1 species
CGCUGGCGGCAGGCCUAACACAUGCAAGUCGAACUGUAACAGGAAUCAGCUUGCUGAUUCGCUGACGAGUGGCGGACGGGUGAGUAAUGUCUGGGAAACUGCCUGAUGGAGGGGGAUAACUACUGGAAACGGUAGCUAAUACCGCAUAACGUCGCAAGACCAAAGAGGGGGACCUUCGGGCCUCUUGCCAUCGGAUGUGCCCAGAUGGGAUUAGCUAGUAGGUGGGGUAAAGGCUCACCUAGGCGACGAUCCCUAGCCGGUCUGAGAGGAUGACCAGCCACACUGGAACUGAGACACGGUCCAGACUCCUACGGGAGGCAGCAGUGGGGAAUAUUGCACAAUGGGCGCAAGCCUGAUGCAGCCAUGCCGCGUGUAUGAAGAAGGCCUUCGGGUUGUAAAGUACUUUCAGCGGGGAGGAAGGGAGUAAAGUUAAUACCUUUGCUCAUUGACGUUACCCGCAGAAGAAGCACCGGCUAACUCCGUGCCAGCAGCCGCGGUAAUACGGAGGGUGCAAGCGUUAAUCGGAAUUACUGGGCGUAAAGCGCACGCAGGCGGUUUGUUAAGUCAGAUGUGAAAUCCCCGGGCUCAACCUGGGAACUGCAUCUGAUACUGGCAAGCUUGAGUCUCGUAGAGGGGGGUAGAAUUCCAGGUGUAGCGGUGAAAUGCGUAGAGAUCUGGAGGAAUACCGGUGGCGAAGGCGGCCCCCUGGACGAAGACUGACGCUCAGGUGCGAAAGCGUGGGGAGCAAACAGGAUUAGAUACCCUGGUAGUCCACGCCGUAAACGAUGUCGACUUGGAGGUUGUGCCCUUGAGGCGUGGCUUCCGGAGCUAACGCGUUAAGUCGACCGCCUGGGGAGUACGGCCGCAAGGUUAAAACUCAAAUGAAUUGACGGGGGCCCGCACAAGCGGUGGAGCAUGUGGUUUAAUUCGAUGCAACGCGAAGAACCUUACCUGGUCUUGACAUCCACGGAAGUUUUCAGAGAUGAGAAUGUGCCUUCGGGAACCGUGAGACAGGUGCUGCAUGGCUGUCGUCAGCUCGUGUUGUGAAAUGUUGGGUUAAGUCCCGCAACGAGCGCAACCCUUAUCCUUUGUUGCCAGCGGUCCGGCCGGGAACUCAAAGGAGACUGCCAGUGAUAAACUGGAGGAAGGUGGGGAUGACGUCAAGUCAUCACGGCCCUUACGACCAGGGCUACACACGUGCUACAAUGGCGCAUACAAAGAGAAGCGACCUCGCGAGAGCAAGCGGACCUCAUAAAGUGCGUCGUAGUCCGGAUUGGAGUCUGCAACUCGACUCCAUGAAGUCGGAAUCGCUAGUAAUCGUGGAUCAGAAUGCCACGGUGAAUACGUUCCCGGGCCUUGUACGCACCGCCCGUCACACCAUGGGAGUGGGUUGCAAAAGAAGUAGGUAGCUUAACCUUCGGGAGGGCGCUUACCACUUUGUGAUUCAUA